GAUGAACGCUAGCUACAGGCUUAACACAUGCAAGUCGAGGGGAAGCGACAUCGAAAGCUUGCUUUUGAUGGGCGUCGACCGGCGCACGGGUGAGUAACGCGUAUCCAACCUGCCCACCACUUGGGGAUAACCUUGCGAAAGUAAGACUAAUACCCAAUGAUAUCCCACGAAGACAUCUGAAUGGGAUUAAAGAUUUAUCGGUGAUGGAUGGGGAUGCGUCUGAUUAGCUUGUUGGCGGGGUAACGGCCCACCAAGGCAACGAUCAGUAGGGGUUCUGAGAGGAAGGUCCCCCACAUUGGAACUGAGACACGGUCCAAACUCCUACGGGAGGCAGCAGUGAGGAAUAUUGGUCAAUGGGCGAGAGCCUGAACCAGCCAAGUAGCGUGCAGGAAGACGGCCCUAUGGGUUGUAAACUGCUUUUAUAAGGGAAUAAAGUGGGUCACGUGUGACUUUUUGCAUGUACCUUAUGAAUAAGGACCGGCUAAUUCCGUG
rnacentral:rRNA from 1 species